CAGUAGCCGCGGUAAUACAGAGGGUGCGAGCGUUAAUCGGAUUUACUGGGCGUAAAGCGUGCGUAGGCGGCUUUUUAAGUCGGAUGUGAAAUCCCUGAGCUUAACUUAGGAAUUGCAUUCGAUACUGGGAAGCUAGAGUAUGGGAGAGGAUGGUAGAAUUCCAGGUGUAGCGGUGAAAUGCGUAGAGAUCUGGAGGAAUACCGAUGGCGAAGGCAGCCAUCUGGCCUAAUACUGACGCUGAGGUACGAAAGCAUGGGGAGCAAACAGGAUUAGAGACCCCCGUAGUCCCUGUCUCUUAUAC
rnacentral:rRNA from 1 species